AGGCACUGGAGACAAAGAUCAGCCACAUGGCAGUCAACCAUGUCUAUCUGACCAAGUUCCAAUGAAAACUCUGGACACCAAGGCUUGUGUGAGCUUCCCCAGUUGUACAUGUAUUGAUUUAUACACUUGGAGAUAUUUCUCAAAAGACUCCUCUGCGGGAGAGGAGAAUAGAGAAAGAAAGAAAACAACUGUGUAAGCAGACAUCAGUGUAAACCUUAGCACUGUCUCUUGAUGAGAUAAGAGGAGGAUGGCAGUGACAGGAGUGUGGUGGCGAGCCAGUCACCUGCAGUCAACCACGGCUCAUUGCUCUCACCAUGCCUGUUACAUGAAGGUAUGUAUGUAUAGGAAAAAGCACUGAAAAACUCUCCAGUUUCAGGCAUCCACUGGGGAUCCUGGAACG
rnacentral:antisense_RNA from 1 species